rnacentral:lncRNA from 1 species
UUGUAUCAAAAGUAAAUCGUCUCAUUCUUUUAUAAAUGCCAAAUUAUUUUACCAACUUUUUAUCAGAUUUGCAUAAUGUGUUUCUAAUUUUGAUAAUCUAAUAACCUUUACAAUUUUUAUAUUGAGAAAAAUGAAUAACUAGAGUGACUGUGGGGUGGACUGAUUUUAAGUUCGAGCAUAGUUCCAAAUUUGAUAAUAUUGGCCUAAAACAAGGUCCAAUUCUGACAACAUUGAUCUUAGACCAUAACACAAGCCUAGACAUAAUGGUGAGUUCAAAGCAUUAAGACAAAAGCACAAUUGUUCUAUACUCCAAAUUCCACACAUCAAAUUUCACAUCCAAUGUCCAAAAGACUUCCUUAUGUGUGCAUGACUUUCCAUUCAUUGAAUCAAUGAGAAUUAUCAAAUGCAAAGAGAUAUAUAUGCAUGAGGUUCAUAACAAUGUAUUAGACGCCAUCAAAUACUUCGACUACAUGGCAAAUGGGGAUGGGCCCCUCUAAAGAGUGAGAGGGAACAAGAGGUAGUCUAUUGGUGAACAAGUAAUGUAAAAAUUUAUGAGACGCACAAGCAAAUUAAGGCUAGUUCUUGAAGCCCAUAUAAAUGGGAAUGGUGGUCACAUUUUUAAUCUUUAUUCUCUUCCUCCCCAUUUAUUUAGGGAUUUUCGAUUGAAUCCUCUCAUUUAUCAUUAGACUCUCAAGAGUUGUGGAACCAGAACCAUAAAUAUCACACUUUUAAUAUAAGAGGUGUAAAGAGUCCUAAUGAGGCACACUCAGCGCUCAAUAAUUAAUAUUAGGAAAAUGUUUAGAUAAAAGGCAAGGCCCUAAACAAUUAAAUUGAGACGGGCAUAAAAUUUUUUACAAGAAGAUGAUAUUUCGAUGCUGAAAAACCCUCAAUUCGAUGACUUCAAGAUUUGUGGGAAAGGGAAACAAUAGAUUUCAAGUCUUGAAGACACUGCACUAUGUAACACAUUAUCUAGAUUGUCAAUUUUUAAGAUUUUCAAGCUUUCAUAGAUCUGCUUGAUCUACACUAUUUUUUUAUAUUUAAAUUUUAAAUUUAGAGAUGGGAAUAGAUUUUCAGGUCAUCAUAAAGGUUUCUGAUAUCGAAACAACAUAUGUCGACACUAUUCAUAGGUGUGCCCUUCUUUAAUUGUUUAGGGCCUCAGCCUUAUGCAAACCACACCCUUAAUCUUGUAAACCAAUGUUCUUGGACUUUGUCAAGUAACUCGACCCUACCCAACCUGACAUGAGUUGGAUGCCUAGCUUACUGGUUGCCAAAAAAAUCCUAAAAAAUAAAAAAUAUAAAAGUAAUAUAUCAGUUAGAAAUAUGUUUUUAGGUGAUUUUAACUGUCCUUAUGAUGGUUUGGUAAGUUUUGUAUUUUUAUUUUUUUUCUUCUUUUAACUUUGCGUUCCAUGGCAUAUGCUUCAAAUUGCAGCAAGCCGGUAGUAUCAGAUCAAGGAAAGUAUGAAAGUGCAUCUCAGAUCAGUACUAUAGCUAUUCCAUUUGACGUUCUGCAGCAGAUUAUGUCGGCACUGUAAGUGAAUUCAGGUAGCGCCUAGUGUUAAGGAAGAGAUUGUCUUUUUACUGUCUUUCAUAGCAUUGUAUAGGGUAUUUAUUCAUAACAUUGUAUUGGGUAUUUCUUUUAUUCUUUACCCUCAAAAUGUGUAAUUAUAGUUCAUGGUUUUCAAUGUAUCAAGGAAUGGGGAUUUCACAAGCAAAAACAUUAGGCUCUGAAGCCAC